rnacentral:rRNA from 1 species
GACGAACGCUGGCGGCGUGCUUAACACAUGCAAGUCGAACGGAAAGGCCCUGCUUUUGUGGGGUGCUCGAGUGGCGAACGGGUGAGUAACACGUGAGUAACCUGCCCUUGACUUUGGGAUAACUUCAGGAAACUGGGGCUAAUACCGGAUAGGAGCUCCUGCUGCAUGGUGGGGGUUGGAAAGUUUCGGCGGUUGGGGAUGGACUCGCGGCUUAUCAGCUUGUUGGUGGGGUAGUGGCUUACCAAGGCUUUGACGGGUAGCCGGCCUGAGAGGGUGACCGGCCACAUGGGGACUGAGAUACGGCCCAGACUCCUACGGGAGGCAGCGGUGGGGAAUAUUGCACAAGGGGCGGAGGCCUGAUGCAGCAACGCCGCGUGCGGGAUGACGGCCUUCGGGUUGUAAACCGCUUUCGCCGGUGACGAAGCGUGAGGGAGGUAAUGGGUAAAGAAGCACCGGCUAACUACGUG